GACGAACGCUGGCGGCGUGCUUAACACAUGCAAGUCGAACGGAAAGGCCCUGCUUUCGUGGGGUGCUCGAGUGGCGAACGGGUGAGUAACACGUGAGUAACCUGCCCCUGACUUUGGGAUAACUUCAGGAAACUGGGGCUAAUACCGGAUAGGAGCUCCUGCUGCAUGGUGGGGGUUGGAAAGUUUCGGCGGUUGGGGAUGGACUCGCGGCUUAUCAGCUUGUUGGUGGGGUAGUGGCUUACCAAGGCUUUGACGGGUAGCCGGCCUGAGAGGGUGACCGGCAAAAUUGGGACUGGAAUACGGCCCAGAAUCCUACGGGAGGCAGCAGUGGGAAAUAUUGCACAGUGAGCGGAAGCCUGAUGCAGCAACGCCGCGUGCGGGAUGACGGCCUUCGGGUUGUAAACCGCUUUCGCCUGUGACGAAGCGUGAGUGACGGUAAUGGGUAAAGAAGCACCGGCUAACUACGUG
rnacentral:rRNA from 1 species